rnacentral:rRNA from 1 species
UACGGGGGGAGCAAGCGUUGUUCGGAUUUACUGGGCGUAAAGGGCGCGUAGGCGGCGUGACAAGUCACUUGUGAAAUCUCCGGGCUUAACCCGGAGCGGCCAAGUGAUACUGUCGUGCUAGAGUGCGGAAGGGGCUACUGGAAUUCUCGGUGUAGCGGUGAAAUGCGUAGAUAUCAGGAGGAACACCGAUGGCGAAGGCAGGUCUCUGGGCAUUAACUGACGCUGAGGAGCGAAAGCAUGGGGAGCGAACAGG